UGGGAGUGCUCUGGGGAGUGCUCAGAGGGAUGGUGGGCUGCAAGGACAGGAUGGGAGAGGAUUUUAGGGGAUCUUCCAUGACCUUACAAGCAUUUCUCCUCCCUUGGCUCCACGGGGUCUGUUGCCUGCCCCAGCUCCAGCCAGGGCAGUGUUGGGACACGAAAUCCCCCACGAGUCUGGGGCAGAAGGGAAAGUUUUGUUUUGUUUGGAUUCUGGCCUUCCCAAGCAAACUGGAGAGUUUAAAUCCAUACAACUGGAUCUGCCUUUAGUGGGCCCAUAAUUGGAUGUUUUAUCCCGUGUUUUCCUGCUCCUCACAGUGGAUAUUUUUCCCAUACUGCCAUGACAUUGGGUUUGUGUUUUCUUUUCUUUUUUUACUUCACUCCUUUACCCCUCAUCUCUGCUCCUCUAAUUUUAUAAAUUACUGAAAUGAUAAUUUUUUUCCCUCCCCAGUGCUGGGGCUGAGCAUGAUGAAAUUUUCCUGUGGAGAUGUGGAUCCUGUGUUUUAAUUACUGCUCAGGCCAGUGAAGGUUCUUCUAAAGAAUAAGUGCUGAUUAAAGCGGGUUUUAUCACAGGAUGGAUCUUAUGCAAACAAAGAAAGAAAUCAAAAUAUCCUCUAUCAAAUGAAAUCAAGAUAUCCUGUAUCAGUCAGGUUGGACAAGCCCUGUGGGAUGACUGAGUCCAGCUGUUCCCCCACCCCUGCCCCAAAGGCCACAUCCACAAUCUCUGAACCCCUCCAGGGAUGGGGACUGCCCUGGGCAGCCUGGAGAGCCCUUGCAGGGAAGAAACACAGAUCAAUCCUUCUGUUCUCCUUCUGGUAAAACAAGGAAAACAAAGCUCCUUUAUCCAAUUUCCAAGCUGUAUUUCAUUCUCUUUUGUGAUGCCCAAAGUGCUGCUCAUCCAGGAGAAGUCUGGAGAGCAGCAAGAACUUUCCUGGCUCUCACCUGGAGCACGUCAGGCCUGCAGAAUCCCUGGAUACAGGAGGGAGACAGGAGAGAGGAGCAGGAGCUGGGAGGUCAAGAGGAGAUUUGGUCAGGGGCACUGAUGUGCUGGAUCACCAUCCCUGGGAGUAAAUUCUUUCCCAUUCUUUGCUGCUGCCAUUCGUGCUCCCCCUCUGCUCCUUUUGCAGCUGCUAUGAAAUUGCCUUGCAUUGGAAUUUGCCCAAAUUCCAGCUUUUUCCAGAGUUUUUCUGUUUUAUUUAGAGCUUUUCCAAGUGGCUCCUUGUAGAUGUGGAGUUCUUAAAUGCUGGUAAUGCUCUUUGUCCACCCUGGGAGAUGGUGAAUAUUCCUGGCACGGUGUGACUGCAAGGCAGGAAAAGCUUUGGGAGCAAAGCACAGUGGAUGUGUUCUGGAUCUUCUUUAGGGAGCACAGAAGGAGUUAAAUAAACCAGGGCUGGAAGGACAUUCCCAAAUCCAUAAUGCACAGGAUUGGCAUUCUGUCUGCAUACAAAUAACUUGGAUUAGCAGGAUGUGCCAUUCCUUUCACCAUAAAAAUAUCCACACUCACAUUAUUUUAAGACACUUCCAAAAUAGAGCGGAGUUAAAAUAUUUGUUUUAAACUAUCCAGGGAUCCUUGCACAAUCUUUUUGAUUGCUUUUUAUAGCCCUUCUCCACCCUGAGUCAUUUAGCAGUUCCCUUUCCUGAAAUACCAGUGGUAACUCUCUCUCCAUCUCCGUGAUGGAUGUUUGUGUGAAUUCAUUUCACUCCUCACAGCGAAGCCUUUCAGCACUGCCUCUCCAGCUUGGGACAAAUGCAGCCUAAAUGGGGGUUUUAGACAAAAUUGUGGGGAAAUGAGGUUACCCAGAGCAGCUGGGGCUGCCCCUGGAUCCCUGGCAGUGCCCAAGG